CCGGAGGCAGCAGUGGGGAAUAUUGGUCAAUGGAGGGAACUCUGAACCAGCCACGCCGCGUGGACGAUGAAGGCCCUAUGGGUUGUAAAGUUCUUUAGUCUGGGACGAAAAAGGGAGAUUCAUCUUCAACUGACGGUACCAGAAGAAUAAGCACCGGCUAACUCCGUGCCAGCAGCCGCGGUAAUACGGAGGGUGCAAGCGUUAUCCGGAAUCACUGGGUUUAAAGGGUGCGUAGGCGGUUUUAUAAGUCAGCGGUGAAAGGUGUUCGCUCAACGAACGAACUGCCGUUGAUACUGUUUAACUAGAAUUGGGCUGAGGUAACUAGAAUGUAACAUGUAGCGGUGAAAUGCUUAGAUAUGUUAUAGAACACCGAUUGCGAAGGCAGGUUACUGGACCUUGAUUGACGCUGAGGCACGAAAGCGUGGGUAGCGAACAGGAUUAGAUACCCGUGUAGUCU
rnacentral:rRNA from 1 species